rnacentral:rRNA from 1 species
AACGCUGGCGGCGUGCCUAACACAUGCAAGUCGAACGANAAAGGGGGACUUCGGUCCCUGAGUACAGUGGCGCACGGGUGAGUAACACGUGACUUAUCUACCCUCGAGUGGGGAAUAACUUCGGGAAACCGAGGCUAAUACCGCAUAAUACCCACGGGUCAAAGGAGCAAUUCGCUUGAGGAGGAGGUCGCGGCCGAUUAGUUAGUUGGCGGGGUAAUGGCCCCACCCAAGACGGUGAUCGGUAUCCGGCCUGAGAGGGCGCACGGACACACUGGAACUGAAACACGGUCCAGACUCCUACGGGAGGCAGCAGUGGGGAAUUUUGCGCAAUGGGGGAAACCCUGACGCAGCAACGCCGCGUGGAGGAUGAAGUCUCUUGGGACGUAAACUCCUUUCGAUCGGGACGAUUAUGACGGUACCGGAAGAAGAAGCCCCGGCUAACUUCGUG